rnacentral:lncRNA from 1 species
UUCUAACAAUUUGAACAUAACUUUCAUCAAACAUGUUAUGUACAAAGGAAUAUGACUACAAAAUGAGGAUAGAAAAGUAACUGCAGUUUCCGUGAGCUCAAGGUUAUGAGCCUUGCGAGCUAUCAGAUUGAUGUACCACAAGCCAAAGAUAAGAACUGAAAACUAAUAUAUAAAAAGAAUUAAAUGUUCCCCUCCACCUUAUCAGUACAAAUAGAAUAAAAGUGAAACAUCAAAAAGAUAAAGGGGAACAAAUAAGAGUUCAACCAUUCAUAUAUAUCUUCUUAUAUGGCCUAUGAAUAGUUCAAGCCAAGCUUCCAGUAAUAUCAUCAUAAUCAUAAAGUUGCAACAAAUUGGAAAAUUACUUGGCAACCUUGAAAUGACUAUAGACCAAACUAUAAGCAUGUGCAAAUUGUGAUAAAACUCUAUUGUAUAUUUAGAAAAUUAGAAGAUCUUUGUUCUUUUAUUCGAUGAGUCAAUCUAUCCAUUCUCAUUAGGGGAAUUCCUUUAUCUUAUCAAGAGUCCUAAGGAAAUAAAAAAUAACUUUCGAGGUAUUUUUUUCGUUUCUUUAAACCUCUUCAAAUUUUAUCAUCCUACACCUCAGGACACAGAUAGCUUUGAAGUUAUUUUCUAUUCAAGCAAUAAAAUUUCCACAAAGGACGAUAAAUUUUAAGUUGUCAUAAUACGAAACAAAGAAUAGCUAAGGAUAUGACUACAUUAUAGGUUAUUAUGGAUAUUGUGGGAAGAACACACAUGAAAAGCAAGCUUUGUAAACAUAAAUUUGGCUAAAAAAGUUGUGUCGGUGAUCCUAGUUUAAGCAUCUUGCCUGAAGUUGCAUAUUUUGUCACUACUACUUCCCUUUCUUGCAAAUCGUAGUUAAAGAGGUCAUAUUCCUUUUGUUUCUUUCAGCGGCACUUGUAAUCCAUUGAAUUAGGAUGUUACAGAAUUUGAUAAUAUAUUUACUAAGAAUCAAUGGAUCAUUCUUCUAACAAUUUGAACAUAACUUUCAUCAAACAUGUUAUGUACAAAGGAAUAUGACUACAAAAUGAGGAUAGAAAAGUAACUGCAGUUUCCGUGACCUCAAGGUUAUGAGCCUUGCGAGCUAUCAGAUUGCUCUACCACAAGCCAAAGAUAAGAACUGAAAACUAAUAGUUAAAAAGAAUUAAAUCUUCCCCUUCACCCUAUCAGCACAAAUAGAAUAACUCAUUUAUACAGAAUGGUAAAAGGGCUACUAUGAUCAUCAACAAUAGAAAUAGAACUAAAGUGUUAAUUCUUACCUACUUGAUCUUGUUGCUCCUGGCAACAAACAUGCUGAACCAUUUUAGCAAGUAUACACAGUAAACUAAAGACGAUGAGGUGAUUUGUUCAGUGUAGUGGCAGAGGAACACACUUUUCUGGCAUAUGCAAUUAUUGAAAGAACAAUAAAUCAUUCAAACAGUUAGGAAGCAUGAGUAAAGAGUUCCAAAUUCUAACAAAGAAUUUCUUACUUAACACCCAUCUUUAUGGUUGUCCAUCUAGACUUCUUAGUUUUCUUCAUGUGGUACCUGCAAUCGAAAAAUGAUAAUAUUCAUUAUACAAAUAAAAAAUAGGAUGAUAUUGAUUAGAAAACCGUUUAAUUUUUCUAGUUAUGUUCAAUACAA